rnacentral:antisense_RNA from 1 species
ACCGAUGGAGCUUUAAUGGGGGCACAGAGGGAGGAACUGCAGAACUGUUACAGCUACCUGUACUACAGCCGUAUUUCUACACCUUCAUUGAACAGUGUCAAGAAUCUGCCUCAUUUAAGUUCUACUAACAACAAAAAGAGAGUGCAUAGAAGAGUUUGUAAUGUAACCAGCGAAAUGAAGCAUCCCUUUUAGAGAAAAGGAAAUGAUAAAAAUGGUGGGAAGGAGAUUUGCUCAUGUAGACUCCUACAGAUGGACUUACAGAACUUUUCCAGGUGGACACAGAUAAUCAGGGACCUGCAGCUGCUAAACUUUGAUCUUACCGUUGAAACCAUCCUGGUCCAGAUCUCCCAAAGGAGCUAUGGCACUGCCAAACCGUGCAAAGACCUCAAACCCAUUCAGCUUUGUCGUCUGGAAGUCUCCUGAAGCUCUCUGUAGAGACACUGAGACCUGCCCCACCUCUUGGAGUUUGCCAUCAGAGCCACGAUCCAUGAAGAGAGGUGCUCCAAUAAACACAUCUGCAUAACUAGAAGAACAGAAUCUUCUCACCAAAGCAAGAUCAAAUUUCAUCUC